rnacentral:lncRNA from 1 species
GGUGUUUUGCCACUAUCAUAUAAGAUGUCUAAUGACAUGCAACCUCGUGUUAUCAUAAGACAGGGUUGUGCACAUCCACUUGCUGAGUAUAUCUACGAACACUACCUAUAUGAUCUUGGAGUUUAUUUGAAAUAUAAUUUUCACUUGGAGACAGUGGAGAUAGUUCUAUGUCAAGAGAAAACUCACCUUUGGAAAGGAGAUGAUAGUAAUCUUUUUCAUUUUUCUUUGGGGUCUAUUGGGUCAACCAAGGAUAAUUCUGUGGACAUAUGAUAUCUAUCAUAAUCCAGACGCAUGGCCUCCCAUGUACGAAGGUUUCAUUGAG